rnacentral:misc_RNA from 1 species
GAAAUGCGAUAAGUAAUGUGAAUUGCAGAAUUCAGUGAAUCAUCGAAUUUUUGAACGCCCCUUGCGCUCCUUGGUAUUCCUUGGAGCAUGCCUGUUUGAGUAUCAUGAAAUCUUCAAAGUAAAUCUUUUGUUAACUCAAUUGGUUUCUACUUUGGUAUUGGAGGUCUUUGCAGCUUCACACCUGCUCCUCUUUGUUCAUUAGCUGGAUCUCAGUGUUAUGCUUGGUUCCACUCGGCGUGAUAAGUUAUCUAUCGCUGAGGACACUGUAAAAGGUGGCCAAGGUAAAUGCAGAUGAACCGCUUCUAAUAGUCCAUUGACUUGGACAAUACUUUUAUGAUCUGAUCUCAAAUCAGGUAGGACUACCCGCUGAACUUAAGC